AUACGUAGGGGGCAAGCGUUAUCCGGAUUUACUGGGUGUAAAGGGAGCGUAGACGGUUUUUCUGCAAGUCUGGAGUGAAAGCCCGGGGCUCAACCCCGGGACUGCUUUGGAAACUGUGGAACUGGAGUGCAGGAGAGGUAAGUGGAAUUCCUAGUGUAGCGGUGAAAUGCGUAGAUAUUAGGAGGAACACCAGUGGCGAAGGCGGCUUACUGGACUGUAACUGACGUUGAGGCUCGAAAGCGUGGGGAGC
rnacentral:rRNA from 1 species